UUGGAGGGCAAGUCUGGUGCCAGCAGCCGCGGUAAUUCCAGCUCCAAUAGCGUAUAUUAAAGUUGUUGCAGUUAAAAGGCUCGUAGUUGAAUUUCGGGAUCAAUGUUUCGGUCAUGCCGUUGGUAUGUACUGAUAUUAUUGGUUUCUCACCUUCUAAAGAACCGUAAUGCCAUUAAUUUGGUGUCACGGGGAAUUAGGACUGUUACCUUGAAAAAAUUAGAGUGUUUAAAGCAGGCUCACGCUUGAAUACAUUAGCGUGGAAUAAUGAAAUAGGACAUCCGAUUCUAUUUUGUUGGUUUCUAGGAUCGAUGUAAUGAUUAAUAGGGAUAGUUGGGGGCAUUAGUAUUCAAUUGUCAGAGGUGAAAUUCUUGGAUUUAUUGAAGACUAACUACUGCGAAAGCAUUUGCCAAGGAUGUUUUCAUUAAUCAGUGAACGAAAGUUAGGGGAUCGAAGACGACCAGAUACCGUCGUAGUCUUAACCAUAAACUAUGCCGACUAGGGAUCGGGCGGUGUUAUUAUUUUGACUCGCUCGGCACCUUACGGGAAACCAAAGUGUUUGGGUUC
rnacentral:rRNA from 1 species